ACAAGCCAUCCUCUACUUAAGCUGAUUGGUUCCUGAGCUUCAACCAAGAACUGGACAUCGGUCUCUCUUGACAUAAAUAUCCAUCCUCUGCGGUGGGGGGAGUGUCCUCGGAGCACUUUAUGACUUCCUAUUGCUGGCAGUAUUCUGUGCAGUGCUUCAGCUAGGACUGCCCAAGGUGAGCUCCUUACUUCUCGGUAGCUCAUGAAUAACAUCCAAGUCCAUAUGG
rnacentral:lncRNA from 1 species